rnacentral:rRNA from 1 species
UACGUAGGGGCCGAGCGUUGUCCGGAGUUAUUGGGCGUAAAGCGCGCGCAGGCGGCUUCGCGCGCCCGACGUGAAAGCCCCCGGCUUAACCGGGGAGAGUCGUUGGGGACGGCGGAGCUUGAAUCCAGGAGAGGUGAGUGGAAUUCCGAGUGUAGAGGUGAAAUUCGUAGAUAUUCGGAAGAACACCAGUGGCGAAGGCGGCUCACUGGCCUGGUAUUGACGCUGAGGUGCGAAAGCGUGGGGAGCAAACAGG